rnacentral:misc_RNA from 1 species
GAGAAGAACGCAGCGAAAUGCGAUACUUGGUGUGAAUUGCAGAAUCCCGUGAACCAUCGAGUCUUUGAACACAAGUUGCGCCCGAAGCCAUUAGGCCGAGGGCACGCCUGCCUGGGCGUCACACGUCGUUGCCCCCCCAUCUACUCCUUCGGGAUUGCGGGGGGCGGAUGAUGGCCUCCCGUGCGCCUCGUCGCGCGGUUGGCAUAAAUACCAAGUCCUCGGCGACGCACGCCACGACAAUCGGUGGUUGCGAAACCUCGGUUGCCCGUCGUGUGCGGUCGUCGCGCAUCGAGGGCUCGAAAAAAUUGCCGGGCUCCGGCUCGGCUUUCAACGCGACCCCAGGUCAGGCGGGGUUACCCGCUGAAUUUAAGCAUAUCAAUAAGCGGAGGA